rnacentral:rRNA from 1 species
UUCCGCAAGCUCACAUGGUUACUCAGUAAAGCUAAGCAGGGCUGCACCCGGUCACUACCUGGAUGGGAGACCACAUGGGAAAGCUAGGUUGAUGCUGGAA